AUACGUAGGGGGCGAGCGUUGUCCGGAAUGAUUGGGCGUAAAGGGCGCGUAGGCGGCCUGUUAAGUCUGGAGUGAAAGUCCUGUUUUCAAGAUGGGAAUUGCUUUGGAUACUGAUGGGCUUGAGUGCAGGAGAGGUUAUCGGAAUUCCCGGUGUAGCGGUGAAAUGCGUAGAGAUCGGGAGGAACACCAGUGGCGAAGGCGGGUAACUGGACGACAACUGACGCUGAGGCGCGAAAGCAUGGGGAGCAAACAGGAUUAGAUACCCUGGUAGUCCACGCCAUAAACGAUGAAUACUAGGUGUAGGGGGUAUCAACCCCCUCUGUGCCGACGUUAACACAUUAAGUAUUCCACCUGGGGAGUACGGCCGCAAGGUUGAAACUCAAAGGAAUUGACGGGG
rnacentral:rRNA from 1 species